AACGCGAAGAACCUUACCGGGGCUUGACAUCGGAGGACAACCGUAGAAAUACGGCUUAGGAGCAAUCCUACUUCCAGACAGGUGCUGCAUGGCUGUCGUCAGCUCGUGCCGUGAGGUGUUGGGUUAAGUCCCGCAACGAGCGCAACCCUCGUCGUGUGUUGGUCCGCAAGGAUCUCUCACACGAGACCGCCGGUGAGAAGCCGGAGGAAGGUGGGGAUGACGUCAAGUCAGCAUGGCCCUUACGUCCCGGGCUACACACGUGCUACAAUGCGCCGAACAACGAGCUGCGAACUCGCGAGGGUAAGCAAAUCUCUUAAAUCGGCGCUCAGUUCGGAUUGAAGGCUGCAACUCGCCUUCAUGAAGUCGGAAUCGCUAGUAAACGCAGAUCAGCUACGCUGCGUUGAAUACGUUCCCGGGCCUUGUACACACCGACUGUAC
rnacentral:rRNA from 1 species